GACGAGGGGUCCAAGCGUUGUUCGGAAUCAUUGGGCGUAAAGCGGGUGUAGGCGGCUUUGUAAGUCAGGAGUGAAAGCCCUGGGCUCAACCCAGGAAGUGCUUUUGAUACUGCAGAGCUUGAGUGUGGGAGAGGAUAGUGGAAUUCCAGGUGUAGUGGUGAAAUACGUAGAUAUCUGGAGGAACACCGGAGGCGAAGGCGGCUAUCUGGCCCAACACUGACGCUCAGACCCGAAAGCAUGGGGAUCAAACAGG
rnacentral:misc_RNA from 1 species